CAGUAGCCGCGGGAACACAGAGGGUGCGAGCGUUAAUCGGAUUUACUGGGCGUAAAGCGUGCGUAGGCGGCUUUUUAAGUCGGAUGUGAAAUCCCUGAGCUUAACUUAUGAAUUGCAUUCGAUACUGGGAAGCUAGAGUAUGGGAGAGGAUGGUAGAAUUCCAGGUGUAGCGGUGAAAUGCGUAGAGAUCUGGAGGAAUACCGAUGGCGAAGGCAGCCAUCUGGCCUAAUACUGACGCUGAGGUACGAAAGCAUGGGGAGCAAACAGGAUUAGAUACCCCAGUAGUCCCUGUCUCUUAUAC
rnacentral:rRNA from 1 species